CCCCCCUACCUGUCUGCCUGGGCGGAGCUCUGACUGGGCUCCCGCCCUUGGCCCACGCACCUGCAGCUGAUCUCGAGUAAUUUGCAGUUGAUCUCUGGCUCAUAAGGCUGGCGCUCUGAGCUAUUCGUCGCUGGAAUAUUGAGUAACCCUCGUUUAUCUGGACCCCGUGAGUGUGAGUGGGUUGUUCGUGUGAGGAGUGUUUGGACAAGGAGCGGAGCAAGUGUGAAGAAGUGUGUUUCCCCGGGACCCUGGUGUUUCUCCCCCCCUUCACGUGUACAUAGCGCACCGGAGUGAUAAAUAAAGUAUUGUAGAACCGUGCUACCUCAGUCUGCGCCUGAGUCCGUCCACCACCGUGACACACAGAUUCUGUCAUCUUGUUCAGCGCUGCUGUCUUCAUGUCUCGUCAUUGGUUAUUUGCCUCUACCAUUUUUACUUUGAAGGAUUGAUGGUCCAAUGCUGCGCUUCAUUUACCUCCGAAGUCAGAUGUCAAAGCAGGGAAUGACAUCACUCCCAACUUGACUGCGUUCAAGUAGUAAAGCCAGAAAAGAAAGGAAGGAAGAGGGUCUGCUUUGCUCCUAGCAAUGUAGAAUCAUCUAUCUAGCAAUACAGUAUAAUGUCUGUUUUUCUGCCCUUAAACACACGGAUGGAGCCCGGUUGGGUCUCUGUGGGUGACUUAUUUAGUAAGUCACAAAUACAAAACAGUAGUAGUACAGACGAGAGGUUUUACAGUUUUACUGCUGUUUAUGUGCACUUCUGCCAACAUGGAUUUUGAAGUAAAGGACUUUCUGAACUGGAAAUCCAACUUGAGGGGGCGUUCAGUCUUGGAAGUUAAAAUUUUCAACUUCUAACUUCAAAUAAACACAGAAUUAGCAACACUUGCACUCUUAAGGCAAGCCAACCAAGUUGCUGUGGAUACCUUUACAUUAACGAGAGCUAGCUAAUGCUGGACCAUUUGAAUAAACAUGGAUGAUAUGGUGCUCGACAUUCUGAACUUUCAUCAACUUUUCAGCAUUAGUAAAGUGAAGCAGCAGAUCCACAAUUCAGUUCAGCAACACACGACAUCACUUCAUUCAAAGUCAAUGAGACACAAUCCUCCCUUACUCACUCAUCUCACGGACUGUGAUGCAAAGGUAGAUGUUGUUAAACGCACUCAAGCACAAACAGCUUCAUCACAUUGUACAGAAGA